AUUGAACGCUGGCGGCAGGCUUAACACAUGCAAGUCGAGCGGAGAUGAGGUGCUUGCACCUUAUCUUAGCGGCGGACGGGUGAGUAAUGCUUAGGAAUCUGCCUAUUAGUGGGGGACAACAUUCCGAAAGGAAUGCUAAUACCGCAUACGUCCUACGGGAGAAAGCAGGGGAUCUUCGGACCUUGCGCUAUUAGAUGAGCCUAAGUCGGAUUAGCUAGUUGGUGGGGUAAAGGCCUACCAAGGCGACGAUCUGUAGCGGGUCUGAGAGGAUGAGCCGCCACACUGGGACGGAAACACGGGCCAGACUCCUACGGGAGGCAGCAGUGGGGAAUAUUGGACAAUGGGGGGAGCCCUGAUCCAGCCAUGCCGCGUGUGUGAAGAAGGCCUUAUGGUUGUAAAGCACUUUAAGCGAGGAGGAGGCUACUGAGACUAAUACUCUUGGAUAGUGGACGUUACUCGCAGAAUAAGCACCGGCUAACUCUGUGCCAGCAGCCGCGGUAACAC
rnacentral:rRNA from 1 species